AACGAACGCUGGCGGCAGGCUUAACACAUGCAAGUCGAACGCCCCGCAAGGGGAGUGGCAGACGGGUGAGUAACGCGUGGGAACCUACCCAAAGGUACGGAACAACCAAGGGAAACUUUGGCUAAUACCGUAUACGCCCCAAGGGGGAAAGAUUUAUCGCCUUUGGACGGGCCCGCGUUGGAUUAGCUUGUUGGUGGGGUAACGGCCUACCAAGGCGACGAUCCAUAGCUGGUCUGAGAGGAUGAUCAGCCACACUGGGACUGAGACACGGCCCAGACUCCUACGGGAGGCAGCAGUGGGAAAUCUUGGACAAUGGGCGAAAGCCUGAUCCAGCCAUGCCGCGUGAGUGAAGAAGGCCUUAGGGUUGUAAAGCUCUUUCGGCGGGGACGAUAAUGACGGUACCCGCAGAAGAAGCCCCGGCUAACUCCGUGCCAGCCGCCGCCGUAAUAC
rnacentral:rRNA from 1 species